CGGGUCCCUUUCCCCUUUCUGGGCGCGGGAUCCUCCCGCCACUGCAAACAGCUCCUGCCAACCCAGCAGUUUGAAAGCAUACCAGCGCAAGUAGGUAAGGUAAGUUUCAGGGUGGAAAGAUGUAACAGCAAUCUGGAAAAGAUGAGCAGCAAGUAAGAAGAAAGUCUGGCAAGAGUUUGAGUCAUCUGGACAAACAAGUGCCAAGCCAAAAUUUCUUGAAUAUGGACAGUUCUAGAGAAAUAAACAUUUACAAAAGCA